GACGAACGCUGGCGGCGUGCCUAAUACAUGCAAGUAGAACGCUGAAGGAGGAGCUUGCUUCUCUGGAUGAGUUGCGAACGGGUGAGUAACGCGUAGGUAACCUGCCUGGUAGCGGGGGAUAACUAUUGGAAACGAUAGCUAAUACCGCAUAAGAGUAGAUGUUACAUGACAUUUACUUAAAAGGUGCAAUUGCAUCACUACCAGAUGGACCUGCGUUGUAUUAGCUAGUUGGUGAGGUAACGGCUCACCAAGGCAACGAUACAUAGCCGACCUGAGAGGGUGAUCGGCCACACUGGGACUGAGACACGGCCCAGACUCCUACGGGAGGCAGCAGUAGGGAAUCUUCGGCAAUGGACGGAAGUCUGACCGAGCAACGCCGCGUGAGUGAAGAAGGUUUUCGGAUCGUAAAGCUCUGUUGUAAGAGAAGAACGAGUGUGAGAGUGGAAAGUUCACACUGUGACGGUAUCUUACCAGAAAGGGACGGCUAACUACGUG
rnacentral:rRNA from 1 species